UCCCUAAGAUAGUUCCAAGGAACAUUGCUGUGUGAAGGAGACAGCAUAUAUAACAAGAACAAUACUUGUAAUAAUAACAAUAAUAAUAAUAACUACUUGUAAUAAUAAUAAUAAUAAUAACAACAGUAAUAAUAAUAAAUUUCUGUAUAGUACUUAAAAUAUAUUUCUCCCCACUCAAAGUUACAUCUUUCAAGAAAGAAAACAAUGGCACCCGGGUCGCGAGCUGUUUGCCUGCUCGGUGUUUGUUACAUUAUUUUCAUGUCCAUGAUAAGCCUCAUAGCCAGUCAACCACAGUACGACCUAGACAAGCCUCAGGAUUCCGAGUACUUGAGUAUGAAAUUGCAAAAUCUACUACGCAGAUCAGAGUUAUCCGACUCAGCUGUUAAAGGCUUGCUUGAUCACAGGACAAAAAGAGUUUUCUGCAAUACUUUUGGAGGUUGUACAAGUCUCUUGCGCUCCGUCGCUUUGAAAAACAGAAGAGCUUCCGUGCUUUCGUCUCACUGAAAUCGUCGACUUUAAAAUAAAUUAAGAUGGAAGAAUUAUUGCAAAUUAUGGAAUCGAUUGUACACAUUACCGCCAUCCGAAAUAAAUUUUCAUGUAUUUCACUGAAUUAAAAUAGUUUUUCCCUAAAAAGGAAUUUAAAUGCUGUAUUCUUCAA